rnacentral:tRNA from 1 species
UCCUGGGUGGCUCAGUUGGUUGAGCAUUAAACUCUUGAUUUCAACCUCACGGUGUGGGAUCAAGCCCCACAUCAGGCU